UCUUGACUCCACUAUAAACAAAGAAUGGAAAAAUGUGGGCCUUUUCGUAUCAUUACUUUUCCUGGCACCACGCGGUGAGGGGCAAAAAGCGGAAUUCGGGAAAGGUAAAUGCCCAGAGCCCCGCACUGGGGUAGCAUGUACCGACAUUAAUAGCGACAUGUACUUGUACGGGGUCUGGAUGAAGGAACCAUUGGAUCUGCCAACCUGCCAAAGGCAUCCCUAUCCCGUACAUACGCUAAAAGACAAGUUAGAGAAUACGGAGACUAAAAUUGCUUAUUUGGCUACCGAUAAGAAGAACUAUGCUGUCAACUAUUUAUGCUACGAAACCAAGAAUAACCAUUUUCUAUCAAUAGCUACAUAUACACUUCGAAAGUUUCCAACCCAGGAGGAAGUAAAUGCCAUUUAUAGAGCACACCAGAAAAACGGAUUUAAUGUAACAUUUUUGCACCGAAUUUGCCGAAAAGCGGCUAUGGGAAGAACUUCACCUCAGCCAACUACUUAGUCUAACUAUUUGAAAGGGGCAAUAAAAAGAGAAGAAAGGACAAAGACUGAACGAAAUGUGAAAUGGCUAGUGUUUUAGCUAGGAAUAUAAUUCUAAAUCUAAUACUUAAUAUGCAAUUUCUAUGAAAUUCGAUGGAAUUAGUCUGAAAACUGCAAUUAUAAUGUCGGGGUAAUUCUUUUUUCAAAUGUAAAUUUUUCAUUAUUCAAUUGUUAUUUAUCUGUUCUAAAAGGACAAUUAUUAAAACAGUU